rnacentral:rRNA from 1 species
GAUGAACGCUGGCGGCGUGCUCAACACAUGCAAGUCGAACGGUGAAGCCGGAGCUUGCUCUGCUGGAUCAGUGGCGAACGGGUGAGUAACACGUGAGUAAUCUGCCCCUGACUCUGGGAUAAGCGCUGGAAACGGCGUCUAAUACUGGAUACGAGCUGCGAAGGCAUCUUCAGCAGCUGGAAAGAACUUCGGUCAGGGAUGAGCUCGCGGCCUAUCAGCUUGUUGGUGAGGUAAUGGCUUACCAAGGCGUCGACGGGUAGCCGGCCUGAGCGGGUGACCGGCCACACUGGGACUGAGACACGGCCCAGACUCCUACGGGAGGCAGCAGUGGGGAAUAUUGCACAAUGGGCGAAAGCCUGAUGCAGCAACGCCGCGUGCGGGACGACGGCCUUCGGGUUGUAAACCUCUUUUGGCAGGGAAGAAGCGAAAGUGACGGUACCUGCAGAAAAAGCGCCGGCUAACUACGUG